rnacentral:rRNA from 1 species
UACGUAGGGUGCAAGCGUUAAUCGGAAUUACUGGGCGUAAAGCGUGCGCAGGCGGUUCGCUAAGACAGAUGUGAAAUCCCCGGGCUUAACCUGGGAACUGCAUUUGUGACUGGCGGCUAGAGUAUGGCAGAGGGGGGUAGAAGUUCCACGUGUAGCAGUGAAAUGCGUAGAGAUGUGGAGGAAUACCGAUGGCGAAGGCAGCCCCCUGGGCCAAUACUGACGCUCAUGCACGAAAGCGUUGGGGGAGCAAAACAGG